rnacentral:rRNA from 1 species
UACGAAGGGGGCUAGCGUUGCUCGGAAUCACUGGGCGUAAGCGCACGUAGGCGGAUUGUUAAGUCAGGGGUGAAAUCCUGGAGCUCAACUCCAGAACUGCCUUUGAUACUGGCGAUCUCGAGUCCGGGAGAGGUGAGUGGAACUGCGAGUGUAGAGGUGAAAUUCGUAGAUAUUCGCAAGAACACCAGUGGCGAAGGCGGACUCACUGGCCCGGUACUGACGCUGAGGUGCGAAAGCGUGGGGAGCGAACAGG